rnacentral:rRNA from 1 species
GCCUGCGGCCAUACCACCCUGAAUACGCCCGAUCUUGUCUGAUCUCGGAAGCUAAGCAGGGUCGGGCCUGGUUAGUACUUGGAUGGAAGACUGCCUGGGAAUACCAGGUGUUGUAGGCU